GGUGCCAAUCCAUGAUUCUGUGAGUGGAAAGAUGGGGCAGAAUGCGGAAUGGAGAGUAGACGAAUGAGGUCAGCCCUCUGCGUUUGAAGCGACAAAUCGGCCGUCAGCGCGCAUGUCGGAUACCAGGCACCAUAGCGUUCUGUCUUUCUCUCUCUCUCUCUCUCUGCAGAUGUUCUCUCUACCUAUUCAGCAGGGUGACAGUGGGCUGUGACAGCUUUCCCUAAUGACCCGUGAGUGCCCGCUUCUGUGUGCUGA
ensembl:lncRNA